rnacentral:rRNA from 1 species
AUGGCCGUUCCCGCGCCAACACCGAGGAUAAACUCUUGGCCAAUAGUUCUGGCAUCGCAACAGCUCUUGAACAUUGAUGCAUCUUUCCGUGAGGAGGAUCACUCGGGGUCAUGUGGAGCCAUUAUAAGAGACCACAAAGGGAAUUUCAUAGCAGCUUCUACCUCACGUAUUGACCACGUUGCAGACGUAGUCUCUGCUGAAGCUGCAGCACUCCGGGAAGGUUUGAAGUUAGCUAUUUCGAUGGGUUGCAAUAACAUCAUGGCGAGGAUGGAUAACUUCAUUGUAGUAAAUGCUCUACAACUGAAUGAAGGACAAUCAAUGGUGGCUGGCCCCAUUUUGGAAGAAUGCAGAGAUUUACUAAGAGGUUUAGGGAAGGUUAUUCUUGAGCAUUGUAAUAGAGAGUCAAAUACGACAGCUCAUGCGCUAGCUGAAUAUGGCCGUGCAAACGAUCCGUCUCUGUGGAUCGAGGCACCACCAAGUUUCAUUACCAAUUCCUUGGCAGACGAUGUAUCUGUUAUUUAG